rnacentral:rRNA from 1 species
UACGUAGGGAGCAAGCGUUGUCCGGAAUCAUUGGGCGUAAAGCGCGCGUAGGUGGCUUCGUAAGUCCGUUGUGAAAGUCAAAGGCUCAACCUUUGAAAGCCGAUGGAUACUGCGGAGCUAGAGUACGGAAGAGGCGAGUGGAAUUCCUGGUGUAGCGGUGGAAUGCGCAGAUAUCAGGAGGAACACCGGUGGCGAAGGCGGGUCUCUGGGCCGAUAUUGACGCUGAGGAGCGAAAGCGUGGGGAGCGAACAGG